rnacentral:rRNA from 1 species
GAUGAACGCUGGCGGCGUGCCUAAUACAUGCAAGUCGAGCGAACGGACGAGAAGCUUGCUUCUCUGAUGUUAGCGGCGGACGGGUGAGUAACACGUGGAUAACCUACCUAUAAGACUGGGAUAACUUCGGGAAACCGGAGCUAAUACCGGAUGAUAUUUUGAACCGCAUGGUUCAAAAGUGAAAGACGGUCUUGCUGUCACUUAUAGAUGGAUCCGCGCUGCAUUAGCUAGUUGGUAAGGUAACGGCUUACCAAGGCAACGAUGCAUAGCCGACCUGAGAGGGUGAUCGGCCACACUGGAACUGAGACACGGUCCAGACUCCUACGGGAGGCAGCAGUAGGGAAUCUUCCGCAAUGGGCGAAAGCCUGACGGAGCAACGCCGCGUGAGUGAUGAAGGUCUUCGGAUCGUAAAACUCUGUUAUUAGGGAAGAACAUAUGUGUAAGUAACUGUGCACAUCUUGACGGUACCUAAUCAGAAAGCCACGGCUAACUACGUGCCAGCAGCCGCGGUAAUACGUAGGUGGCAAGCGUUAUCCGGAAUUAUUGGGCGUAAAGCGCGCGUAGGCGGUUUUUUAAGUCUGAUGUGAAAGCCCACGGCUCAACCGUGGAGGGUCAUUGGAAACUGGAAAACUUGAGUGCAGAAGAGGAAAGUGGAAUUCCAUGUGUAGCGGUGAAAUGCGCAGAGAUAUGGAGGAACACCAGUGGCGAAGGCGACUUUCUGGUCUGUAACUGACGCUGAUGUGCGAAAGCGUGGGGAUCAAACAGGAUUAGAUACCCUGGUAGUCCACGCCGUAAACGAUGAGUGCUAAGUGUUAGGGGGUUUCCGCCCCUUAGUGCUGCAGCUAACGCAUUAAGCACUCCGCCUGGGGAGUACGACCGCAAGGUUGAAACUCAAAGGAAUUGACGGGGACCCGCACAAGCGGUGGAGCAUGUGGUUUAAUUCGAAGCAACGCGAAGAACCUUACCAAAUCUUGACAUCCUUUGACAACUCUAGAGAUAGAGCCUUCCCCUUCGGGGGACAAAGUGACAGGUGGCGCAUGGUUGUCGUCAGCUCGUGUCGUGAGAUGUUGGGUUAAGUCCCGCAACGAGCGCAACCCUUAAGCUUAGUUGCCAUCAUUAAGUUGGGCACUCUAAGUUGACUGCCGGUGACAAACCGGAGGAAGGUGGGGAUGACGUCAAAUCAUCAUGCCCCUUAUGAUUUGGGCUACACACGUGCUACAAUGGACAAUACAAAGGGCAGCGAAACCGCGAGGUCAAGCAAAUCCCAUAAAGUUGUUCUCAGUUCGGAUUGUAGUCUGCAACUCGACUACAUGAAGCUGGAAUCGCUAGUAAUCGUAGAUCAGCAUGCUACGGUGAAUACGUUCCCGGGUCU